GAUGAACGCUGGCGGCGUGCCUAAUACAUGCAAGUCGAGCGAACGGACGAGAAGCUUGCUUCUCUGAUGUUAGCGGCGGACGGGUGAGUAACACGUGGAUAACCUACCUAUAAGACUGGGAUAACUUCGGGAAACCGGAGCUAAUACCGGAUAAUAUUUUGAACCGCAUGGUUCAAAAGUGAAAGACGGUCUUUCUGUCACUUAUAGAUGGCUCCGCUCUGCAUUAGCUAGUUGGUAAGGUAACGGCUUACCAAGGCAACGAUGCAUAGCCGACCUGAGCGGGUGAUCGGCCACACUGUAACUGAGACACGGUCCAGACUCCGACGGGAGGCAGCAGUAGGGAAUCUUCCGCAAUGGGCGAAAGCCUAACGGAGCAACGCCGCGUGAGUGAUGAAGGUCUUCGGAUCGUAAAACUCUGUUAUUAGGGAAGAACAUAUGUGUAAGUAACUGUGCACAUCUUGACGGUACCUAAUCAGAAAGCCACGGCUAACUACGUG
rnacentral:rRNA from 1 species